ACAGAGGGUGCGAGCGUUAUCCGGAAUCACUGGGCGUAAAGGGCACGUAGGCGGUCUAUUAAGUCCGAUGUUAAAGCGUGAGGCUCAACCUCAUCACGGCGUUGGAUACUGAUAGACUUGACUUCUGGAGAGGAAAGUAGAAUUACUGGUGUAGCGGUGAAAUGCGUAGAUACCAGUAGGAAUACCCAUUGCGAAGGCAGCUUUCUGGACAGAUAGUGACGCUGAGGUGCGAAAGUGUGGGGAGCAAACCGG
rnacentral:rRNA from 1 species